UGGGGAAUCUUCCGCAAUGGACGAAAGUCUGACGGAGCAACGCCGCGUGAGUGAAGAAGGUUUUCGGAUCGUAAAACUCUGUCUUUUGGGGCGAACGUGAGUAUGGUGAACAAUCAUAGUCAGUGACGGUACCAAAGGAGGAAGCCACGGCUAACUACGUGCCAGCAGCCGCGGUAAUACGUAGGUGGCAAGCGUUGUCCGGAAUUAUUGGGCGUAAAGAGCGCGUAGGCGGGAUAGUCAGUCUGUUGUAAAGUGCGGGGCUCAACCCCGUGAUGGCAAUGGGAAACAGCUAUUCUUGAGUGCAGGAGAGGAAAGUGGAAUUCCCAGUGUAGCGGUGAAAUGCGUAGAUAUUGGGAGGAACACCAGUGGCGAAGGCGACUUUCUGGACUGUGUCUGACGCUGAGGCGCGAAAG
rnacentral:rRNA from 1 species